CGAACGCUGGCGGCGUGCUUAACACAUGCAAGUCGAACGCGAAAGGGACUUCGGUCCUGAGUAAAGUGGCGCACGGGUGAGUAACGCGUAGAUAACCUGUCUUCAUGUCUGGAAUAAUACGCCAAAGGGGUACUAAUACCGGAUAUUCUUGCUUUUCAUAAGUUAUGCAAGCAAAGGUGGCCUCUGCAUAUGCUACUGCAUGAAGAGGGGUCGUGCGUACCAUUAGCUAGUAGGUGGGGUAAUGGCCUACCUAGGCGACGAUGGUUAGCGGGUCUGAGAGGAUGAUCCGCCACACUGGCACUGGAACACGGGCCAGACUCCUACGGGAGGCAGCAGUGAGGAAUAUUGCGCAAUGGGGGAAACCCGUGACGCAGCGACGCCGCGUGAGUGAGGAAGGCCUUCGGGUCGUAAAGCUCUGUCAAGAGGAAAGAAGUGUACAAUGGCUAAUACCUGUUGUAUUUGACGGUACCUCUAAAGGAAGCACCGGCUAACUCCGUGCCAGCCGCGGC
rnacentral:rRNA from 1 species